rnacentral:rRNA from 1 species
UACGUAGGGUGCGAGCGUAAUCGGAAUUACUGGGCGUAAAGCGUGCGCAGGCGGUUUGUAAGCCAGAUGUGAAUCCCGGGCUUAACCUGGGAAUGGCAUUUGGGACUGCAAGGCUCGAGUGCGGCAGAGGAGACUGGAAUUCCUGGUGUAGCAGUGAAAUGCGUAGAUAUCAGGAGGAACACCGAUGGCGAAGGCAGGUCUCUGGGCUGACCACUGACGCUCAUGCACGAAAGCGUGGGAGCGAACAGG